rnacentral:pre_miRNA from 1 species
AUAAUACUCCCUUCGUCCGAAAAUAUUUGUCCUAGAGAUGAAUGUAUCUAGACUUAUUUUAGUUAUAGAUACAUCCAUUAUAUCCAUUUCUAGGACAAGUAUAUCCGGACGAAGGGAGUAUAUA